UGAGUACGAGAUGCUACGGCAUCGAAGCAGUCUAUGUCAUACUUCCAAGAAAAGCUUGCAAUGUCAUAAACAAAUAAUGCCUGUACCAUAACCGACACAGGUGGGUAGGUAGAGUAUACUAAGGGGCGCGAGAUAACUCUCUCUAAGGAACUCGGCAAAAUGACUCCGUAACUUCGGGAGAAGGAGUGCCUUAUUUUUAUAAGGUUGCAAUAACAAGAUCCAAGCAACUGUUUACCAAAAACACAGGUCUCCGCUAAGUCGUAAGACGAUGUAUGGGGGCUGACGCCUGCCCAGUGCCAGAAGGUUAAAGAAGUUGGUUAGCAUUAGCGAAGCUGAUAACUGAAGCCCUGGUGAACGGCGGCCGUAACAAUAACGGUCCUAAGGUAGCGAAAUUCCUUGUCGGGUAAGUUCCGACCCGCACGAAAGGCGUAAUGAUUUGGAUACUGUCUCGGAGAGGGGCUCGGUGAAAUAGACUUGUCUGUGAAGAUGCGGACUACCUGCACCUGGACAGAAAGACCCUAUGAAGCUUUACUGUAACUUGAGAUUGAAAUUGGACUUUAUCUGCGCAGUAUAGGUGGGAGACGUUGAAAAUAUUCUUGCGGGAAUAUUGGAGUCAUCAGUGAGAUACCGCUCUUAUAAUGUUAGAUUUCUAACUUUGUAUCAUUAUCUGGUCAAAGAACAGUUUCAGGCGGGCAGUUUGACUGGGGCGGUCGCCUCCCAAACGGUAACGGAGGCGCACAAAGGUUUCCUCUGAACGUGUAGAAAUCGUAUCUAGAGUGUAAAGGCAUAAGGAAGCUUGACUGUGAGACCUACAAGUCGAGCAGGGACGAAAGUCGGUCUUAGUGAUCUGACGGUGCUGAGUGGAAAGGCCGUCACUCAACGGAUAAAAGUUACUCUAGGAUAACAGGCUGAUCUCCCCCAAGAGUUCACAUCGACGGGGAGGUUUGGCACCUCGAUGUCGGCUCAUCGCAUCCUGGGGCGGUAGUACGUCCCAAGGGUUGGGCUGUUCGCCCAUGAAAGCGGUACGCGAGCUGGGUUCAGAACGUCGUGAGACAGUUCGGUCCAUAUCCGGUGUAGGCGUUAGAAUAUUGAGAGGAGCCUUCUUUAGUACGAGAGGACCGAGAAGGACAUACCUCUGGUGUACCAGUUAUCGUGCCAACGGUAAACGCUGGGUAGCCAUGUAUGGAGAGGAUAACCGCUGAAAGCAUCUAAGUGGGAAGCCCACCUC
rnacentral:rRNA from 1 species